UCAGAAGGACCAGACAACAGAUUAGAUGGGGAAAGUAAUUUGUCACAAGCAGAAAUAAGAAUAUAAAUGCUUUUGUAUUAACAACCCAACCUUAAAAAACAUCAUGGUUUAUAUUUGUAACCGCUCAUACAUCGAAGAUAAGUAUUUAUUCACUACGUUGCAUUAAUACUCAAAUCGCUUUAAAGCAGUAAGGCUCAAAAUUUUUGUUUAGAUGUAUUCUAUUUUUUUUUUUUAAUUUUAAAUAUAAAUCAGAAGAGAAAAAUUUCAAUCAAUUUUUUUUUAAAUUUAUACUUGCAUUUGAAAUUGUUUGUUCUAUUUAUAUUUUUGAAAAAUUAAUAUUGAAGUAAGAAAGUUACGGUCAUUAUAAUUACUGUUUACAUAAAAUUAGUGUCAAGGAAAAUUUAAAGAAAUAAU